rnacentral:pre_miRNA from 1 species
CAGUUGAAUCUGAGUAUUGGAUGGAACCAAAUCUUGUUGUGAAAGCGAUGCUAAAGACUUGAUUUCCUCCAAUAUCUCAUGUUCAGCUG